ACCUACGGGGCGCAGCAGUGAGGAAUAUUGGUCAAUGGGCUUACGCCUGAACCAGCCAAGUCGCGUGAGGGAAGACUGCCCUAUGGGGUGUAAACCUCUUUUGUCAGGGAGCAACGCCGGCUACGUGUAGCCGGACUGAGAGUACCUGAAGAAAAAGCAUCGGCUAACGCCGUGCCAGCAGCCGCGGUAAUACGGAGGAUGCGAGCGUUAUCCGGAUGUAUUGGGUGUAGAGGGUGCGUAGGCGGAAUGCCAAGUCAGCGGUAACAUCGCGGGGCUCAACAUCGCUCCGCCGUUGAAACUGGCGG
rnacentral:rRNA from 1 species